CUUAUCUCUGUGAUCCAUGACAUAUGAGUUUUUGACUUGAUUUUUUGAUGUAUUAUUGAUAUUUGUUUUUUUAUUUUGCUAAUUUUGUAUAUUUAUUUUGCAUUGUAGGACUCCGCAUUUUUGAGGAGCUUCUAGAAGUUGAUUACCUUCCAAGGAGCUGUAGUAGAGCAAUAAAAGCAGUAGGUGUAGUGGAUGCCACAUGCGAGUCGAUCUUUGAGCUAGUUAUGAGUAUGGAUGGAAAACGUUUUGAGUGGGAUUGCAGUUUCCAAUAUGGUAUUUUAGUGGAGGAGAUGGAUGGGCACACUGCAAUAUUGUAUCAUAGAUUGCAGCUGGACUGGUUCCCAAUG